UACAGCUGUGUGAUCAACAAUCCCAUCACAAACCAGACCACACAUCUGGACAUCACUCAACUCUGUCAACCAUGUGAAGGUAUGCCUACAUCUGUGGUGAUAGUAUCCUUUAUUUACUUAGCUCAGCUGUCUUUAGAUGUGGAUCAGACCAACACAAUCACUUCCAUCACAGGCUCUCGUUUACUUUUCUUCAGAUCCUCCAGUUUCUGUAUCUCUGACUGUACUGAUCUUCACUGCGGCUGCUGGAUUGUUGAUUGUAGUUUUAGUUGUGAUCUGCUGCAUCUGCAAAAAAUGUAGGAAAAAAGUUCAGAAAGAGGAGGAAGAUGGAGCCGAUUCAGCUUUGUGCAAACCAAAAACACAAAAAACGAAAUCAAAUACAAAUGCUGUGUAUGAAAAUGUCCCCAAAAAACGAUGAUCAAAAACUGUAGGUUAUCUACUGGAAUUGAUGCUAUAGAGCUCAUAGCAUCAGUGAUAGGGCAGUGUCUCACGAUUUUUGGGUUUAUUCACAUUUUAUUUUUUGCAAGGUUUAUUUAAUCUCUUUUUUGUACUUCUAUGAUGUUGUUGUGAAUGUUGUUUAAAUGUAUUAGUUCACCAUUA